CAAGAUAAGAACGUUAAGCGAUGUGUUUGAUAUCUUUAAAGUCUGAAAUCGGAAAAAAAACAAUAUCGGAGCUGAAUAUUUAAUUUUGAUAUUCAAAUGUCUGCGCCCAUGGGACACGAUCGUUCACGACCAAAGCCAAAAGAAGACGACGAGGAAGAAGAUCCAGUUGACAAGAUGCUUACAAAAACUGGAUGCAAAGAGUUACAUUACCUUGUACAGGAUUGUAUGGGAGAACAUAAUGAUUGGAGGAAAUGUCAAAAAGAGGUCACAGAAUUCAGGAAAUGUAUGGAAAAGAAAUCAUCUUAAUACAUUUGAGAAAGGAUUUGUCUUUGCAAGUGAACAGUAAAUCCUCUGAAAUAUACAAUGAAGAUUAAAACAUCUGUGAUAUUCAAGAUACUUAGAAGAACCAUAUCUACCUUUUGUGUAUCAUGUGUAAUGACAAAUAAACGACACCUUUCACUGUUGUUAAAUGAAUAAAGUUUUUUAUUAAUGAA